rnacentral:rRNA from 1 species
AUGUGGGCGUUGGAUUCACCUCAAUCGGAGUUACGGUUGCGGAGUUAUGAGGUGUUGAACACCAGGGACCAAUCUAUGAAUAAGACUUCAACAAACAAGUCCCUGGAGGCAAAACUGAAAGCGCCUUCGGGCCGAUUACGCCUUCCGCAAAAGAAAACGUAUAUUCAGCCGAAGAACAAUGGAAGUUCGUUUCCUCAAAGGGAAAACGUAUUUUGCGGAACACGCUUUCAUAAGAGAAAAGCGCAAAGAGGGAAACAUGCCUCCACUUAUCCACGUGGCAAGGUGCUGGGCCACUGGCGCGUGGGUCCCACGGGCGCUCGUCCCCUUCCUCCCGCUCGCCUUAUUCCUCGCGUGAAGCAGAGGCAGAGCAGGGGAGGGGCGACGAGGGGGCCGGCCUGCUCCGGCCCGGCCGAGGGCACCGGCGGGACCGUAGCGGCCAACCGCACCCAUCCAGAGGGAUUACGACCGCCGGGGAGGCGCGGGAAGGAGGGGAGGGGUGGCGCCAUGGAGAGUACAGGAAGCUUCGGGCGACGGGGUUCUUCGGCGAUGCGGCCGCUCCGGCGAGGGGGGAAGUGGGUGGGGAGGCUUAUCGAGACGAGGGGGAGGCAGUGGACAUGGAGGGGAGGCUAG